UGAAAUUGACCAUCAUAUAGAUAGGCUCACCAAAGCGGUGGAAAAAGCCAUCAAUUCAACAGAAGUAGUGCCCAACAUCCACAUUGACCCGUCAAAACCAAAUAGAAGCAUUAGCAUAAGCAAACAUGCCAUCAAACUAAUUGCACAAAGACGCGCUCUCUAUCGCCUCCUGCACAGAAGGUAUGGGACCAUGUCAAGCCAAGAAAGAGACAUGACCAGAAACAUGUUAAGAAUAAUGUCCAUGCAAAUAAAACUAUACAUUGAAUCCGCUCACAUACAAAACAUUGAAAAUCAGAUAGCAAGGCUAGAUCCAUCAAAAAUAAGCACAAAAUUCCUAUGUCCGUCCAGAAAGCAGCAAAUUGAUAUAAAACUAACUACACAAGAGCAAAACUCCAUUGACAUGAAUAUCAUGUCCACACCCAAUAUUAAAACAGAAGCAGAGAAAAUAAAUGCACUCUCUUGGUCUUUUGAAAACAUACACAAGCAAAACGAUAACAUGACCCCAUCUUCACCUGAGCUGCUCGCCCAUGCUAGCAUGUUAACUUUAGAGAGACACAAACUGCAGAUGGUAAUUGGGAAGGAGCAAGGAGGGAAGGCUUUACAAACGCCAACCAACUACUAGAAUGGCUCCAAGCGAAAAACAAUAAAAAAACAAUAGGACCAGACAAGACCAGCAACUUCCUAAUAAAGAAAUUCAACCUUAUCAUCCUUGAUCACAUAGCCAGAAUAUUUAACAACUGCUAUAAUAUCGGAUACUUCCCCAUAGCUUGGAAACAAAGUAAGGUCAUUGCAGUCCCCAAGCCAAACUCUGACCAUAAAACCUUAAGAGGAUACAGACCCAUCUCGAUUCUAUCCGCAAUCAGCAACCUAUUUGAAAAAAUGCUGCUGGAAAAUCUAAAAAAACAUUUGGAGAAAACCAAAACUCUCAAAAACUAUCAAUUUGGUUUCAGAGAAGAGAACUCAACUAACCACUCCCUAGCAGUAGCAAACAAUUUUAUUUACACAAGCCUACAGCAAAAAAAGCCAACAAUCGCUAUAGCGCUAGAUUUUGAGAAGGCUUUUGACACUGUUUGGACAAACGGACUAGUCUAUAAAAUGAUGAAAAUACACAAAUUUGACACAAAUACAACUAGAAUAAUCCGCAGCUACCUCACGGACAGAACAUUUUAUGUCAGUAGCCAAAAUGGGAAAGAAAAAUCAUCAAUCAGAAGUAUAACGGCAGGAGUUCCGCAAGGAUCACUGCUGGCGCCCAUACUAUACAAUAUUUAUUUAGCAGACAUACCAGACUUUGUCAGAGAACCAAACUCAAAAUCCACAGCCAAAAUACAGCCACUAAU